rnacentral:rRNA from 1 species
CGCCAGCAGCCGCGGUAAUACGUAGGGUGCGAGCGUUAAUCGGAAUUACUGGGCGUAAAGCGUGCGCAGGCGGUUUCACAAGCUCGAUGUGAAAGCCCCGGGCUUAACCUGGGAAUGGCAUUGAGGACUGUGGAGCUCGAGUGCGGCAGAGGGAGGUGGAAUUCCACGUGUAGCAGUGAAAUGCGUAGAGAUGUGGAGGAACACCGAUGGCGAAGGCAGCCUCCUGGGCCGACACUGACGCUCAUGCACGAAAGCGUGGGGAGCAAACAGGAUUAGAUACCCUGGUAGUCCACGCCCUAAACGAUGUCAACUGGUUGUUGGGGAAGGAAACUUCCUUAGUAACGAAGCUAACGCGUGAAGUUGACCGCCUGGGGAGUACGGCCGCAAGGUUAAAACUUAAAGGAAUUGGCGGGGGAU